UCACAAGUAAAGUGUGUCCGGCCUUCUGUCUACAUAAUUAUGAUCAAGUGUGUGGAUCAAACGGCAAGACUUACUCCAAUCUAUGCAGCUUGCGGUUUGCUGAUUGUGAAUUUGAAAACGACGAAGAAAUAACAUUAAGACAUAAAGGACCAUGCAAGGGAAAAGGUAAUUAUUAAUAAAGAUUUGUGACAUAAUUAUCAAAUGAUUGACUAUAAUUAUACUAUUAUGUCUGGGGUAUAUACAUUCGCCAAUAAGUAGAACACAUGCAUACAAGCUUUACAGUCCUUACAAGAAAUAAUGUUUUCUGAUAAUAUUAAAUGCUUUAACACCUUCCUCCUUCUUGUUAGUAACGCCAUGUUUAAGAAAGUGCCCAAAGAUAUUAUCUCGUGUGUGUGGAUCAAAUGGUAAAACAUAUCCAAACGAAUGUUCUCUUAAAAUUGCUAUCUGUAUAAGUCAUGGAAG